rnacentral:rRNA from 1 species
CGGGUGCGGAACACGUGUGCAACUUGCCUUUAUCUGGGGGAUAGCCUUUCGAAAGGAAGAUUAAUACCCCAUAAUAUGUUGAAUGGCAUCAUUCGACAUUGAAAACUCCGGUGGAUAGAGAUGGGCACGCGCAAGAUUAGAUAGUUGGUGAGGUAACGGCUCACCAAGUCUACGAUCUUUAGGGGGCCUGAGAGGGUGAUCCCCCACACUGGGUACUGAGACACGGACCAGACUCCUACGGGAGGCAGCAGUGAGGAAUAUUGGACAAUGGGUGAGAGCCUGAUCCAGCCAUCCCGCGUGAAGGACGACUGCCCUAUGGGUUGUAAACUUCUUUUGUAUAGGGAUAAACCUACCCUCGUGAGGGUAGCUGAAGGUACUAUACGAAUAAGCACCGGCUAACUCCGUGCCAGCAGCCGCGGUAAUACGGAGGGUGCAAGCGUUAUCCGGAUUUAUUGGGUUUAAAGGGUCCGUAGGCGGAUCUGUAAGUCAGUGGUGAAAUCUCACAGCUUAACUGUGAAACUGCCAUUGAUACUGCAGGUCUUGAGUGUUGUUGAAGUAGCUGGAAUAAGUAGUGUAGCGGUGAAAUGCAUAGAUAUUACU